UCAAGCUACUAACGGUUUAUGGUGGAUGACUUGGUCAAACAGUGCGAUGAAGGACGUGGUAAGCAGCGAUAUGCUGCGGGGAGCCGCAAACAGGCGUUAAUCCGCAGAUCUCCGAAUGGGGCAACCCUGCGCCGGUAAUACGGCGUAACCGUAUGAUGAAUACAUAGUUAUACGGGGUGAAACCGGACGAAGUAAACCAUUUCAGUAGUCCGAGGAAAAUAAAGAGAAACUCGAUUUCCCCAGUAGCGGCGAGCGAAAAGGAAACAGCCUAAAUUCUAGUGACGUGACAGCCUGUAAGCGUUGUUACUAGAAAGUCGUGGGGUUCAGUUGCGGGUAAUUACAGUUAUCCGGUCUAAGAUAGUUGUCAUAGCCAAAUGGCAUGGAAAGGCCAAUCAUAGAGGGUGAAAAUCCCGUAGGCGAAAUUUCAGCUAUUUUUGAUAGAUUGAAUUCCCAAGUAUCGCGGGACACGUGAAAUCCAGCGAGAAUCUGCCCCGACCAUGGGGUAAGGCUAAAUACUAGUUUGGACCGAUAGUGUACAAGUACCGUGAGGGAAAGUUGAAAAGAACCCCGUUGAGGGGAGUGAAAUAGAACCUGAAACCAUAAACUAACAAGCGAUCGGAGCUUUGGGCGCAAGCCCAGAGUGACGGUGUACCUUUUGCUUAAUGGACCAACGAGUUAUUGUGCAGUGCAAGCUUAAGGCUCUCAAGGGCCGAAGGCGUAGCGAAAGCGAGUCUGAUAAGGGCGCCAAUAAGUAUUGCAUAAUAGACCCGAAGCUGAGUGAUCUACCGAUGGCCAGAAUGAAGGUUUGAGAAAUCAAGCUGGAGGUUCGAACCCAUGGACGUUGAAAAGUCCCGGGAUGAGUUGUCGGUAGGGGUGAAAGGCUAAUCAAACUCAGUUAUUGCUGGUUCUCCCCGAAAUAGCUAUAGGGCUAGUCUCAUAUAAAUGGAUAAUGGCGGUAGAGUACUGAAUGGGCUAGGGACGAUAACCUCGUUGCCAAACCCAACCAAACUUCGAAUACCAUUACACCUUAUUAUGGGAGUCAGACUGCAGGGGAUAAGCUCUGUGGUCGAGAGGGUAACAGCCCAGAUCGCCGGUUAAGGUCCCUAAGGAUAAGCUAAGUGGUAAAGGAUGUGAAGUCGCGUGAACAACCAGGAUGUUGGCUUAGAGGCAGCCAUCAUUUAAAGAGUGCGUAACAGCUCACUGGUCGAUGCGAUUUUGCGCCUAAAAUGAUCGGGGCUCAAGCUUAUUACCGAAACCGCGAAUUGUUGUCUCUUCGGAGACGGCAGUGGUAGGGGAGCAUUCCGUUAUGGGUUGAAGGUCUGCUGUAAGGCAGGCUCGACUAUACGGAAGUGACAAUGUUGGUAUGAGUAGCGAAAAUGUUUGCAAGAAACAGACACGCCGAAAAUCUAAGGUUUCCUGGGGAAGGUUAAUCCACUCAGGGUUAGUCGAUCCUAAGCCGAGGCCGUAUGGCGUAGGUGAUGGACAAUCAGUUAAUAUUCUGAUACCAGGUAAACGACGUUUGACUUAAGAUGUGACGCAGGAAGCUAGGUUGUGCCCAGUGUUGGAUGUCUGGGUUUAAACCUAUAGUUCUGGCGUAAGCCAGGAUGAAAGGUUAUGGGGACCCAUUUCUACGGAUUUGGGGAAGCAAUCGAUGCUACGCUGCCAAGAAAAACCAUUUUAAGGAGCCGUUUAUCUGCUCGUACCGUAAUCCGACACAGGUAGAUACCCAGAAUAUGGGAAGGCGCUCGAGAUAACUCUUGUUAAGGAACUCGGCAAUCUAACCCCGUAACUUCGGGAGAAGGGGUGCCUCGAUGAAUAAUCGAGGUCGCAGUGAAGUGGCCCGUGUGACUGUUUAGCAAAAACACAUGUCUCUGCAAAGUCGAAAGACAAAGUAUAGGGACUGACACCUGCCCGGUGCUGGAAGGUUAAGGGAAGAGGUCAUGCCGACUUGUCGGCAGAAGCUUUGAACCGAAGCCCCAGUAAACGGCGGCCGUAACUAUAACGGUCCUAAGGUAGCGAAAUUCCUUGUCGGGUAAGUUCCGACCU
rnacentral:rRNA from 1 species